rnacentral:lncRNA from 1 species
UGAGACGCCACAAACCCUAGCUGGCUAGCUCCGUGGAGGUGACGGCUACUGGCUGCAAGAUUGAAGACUCCGACGCCGUCGCUCCGAGGUCGGCACUCGGCACCAGGCAAGGCUAGGCAGCAAGCCAGCAGCCCAGCACGACGGUCACCGGCGACAGGCGACCAGGCGUCACCGCGUCAGGUGGCCAGCGACCAGCGGUACAGGCGUACAGCCAUUAGGCGGCCAGCUGGCCAGCGCCCUCGGCCAGCGGCAGCGCGCACCGCCCAGCUGGCCAGCUUGACAGCAUCAGGGGGCCAGCGCCCUCGCCCCUCGGCCAGUGCCCAACGCUCCAGCAGCCAAGUCGUCGUCGGCAAGCCACUGCGCCAGUGCGCCACCGGAAGGUAAUUUAUUAUGUCGACCAUGGUUUGAGUCUUUGAGAUGUGUGUUUCUCUUUCGUUAGGGAUUGCAUUUAGAUAUUCCUAAUUGAAAUCACCUGGCCUUUUUGUUCUGCGCCAAUUUGCUCAAAUCUCUGGACUGAAAUUGGUGUUGUUCCUAAUUGAAAUCCUCUGCUGAAAUCUUUGGACUGAAUUGGUGUUGUCUGCCUUUUGCUAUUGAACAGGUACUAGUAUGGAGACAUGGAGAUUGGAGAGUGGUCUUGUGCGGUGCUUACUGCUUAGUGCUUAGUAUUGUCUGAAUUGGUGUUGUGCGGUGCUUAGACAUGGAGAUAGGUACUAUGGACUGAAUUGGUGUUGUCUGUUGUCUGUUCUGUUGUGCGGUGCUUAGACCUGACCGCCUGUUGUCUGUUCUCUGUUGACUGUUGUGCUUGUGCCGUUGUGCACUUGUGCGUUGUGCGGUUGUGCCUGAGCUAGUGCCUGAGCAGCUGAGCUAGUGCCACUGCGCAUGCCGCAUGAUGCCUGAUACCUGAAGCGGUGAAGCCUGAAGCCUGAGCUAGUGCCAGUGUGCCACUGCGCCAGUGCGCCUGAUGCCUGAUGCCUAAAGCCUGAUGCCGUUUAGCCGUUGUGCACUGUUUCACUGUUUUAAUUUUUAAAUAAUCUAUGACUGGAAUAUUGUUU